AUUGAACGCUGGCGGCAUGCCGAAUACAUGCAAGUCGAACGAGUGGCGGACGGGUGAGUAAUGUCUGGGAAACUGCCCGCUGGAGGGGAAUACCUACUGGAAACGGUAGUUAAUACCGCAUACCAUCGGAUGUGCCCAGUUGGGAGUAGCUAGUAGGUGGGGUAAUGGCUCACCUAGGCGACGAUCCCUAGCUGGUCUGAGAGGAUGACCAGCAAAACUGGACCUGGGACACGGCCCAGAUUCCUACGGGAGGCAGCAGUGGGGAAUAUUGCACAAUGGGCGCAAGCCUGAGGCAGCCAGGCGGAGUGUAUGAAGAAGGCUUUCGGGUUGUAAAGUACUUUUAGCGAGGAGGCGUUAAUCGCAGAAGAAGCACCGGCUAACUCCGUGCCAGCAGCCGCGGUAAGUC
rnacentral:rRNA from 1 species